GGACUAAUAGCUUAACGGUAAAGUGUCUACUUGUCACGUAGAAGGAUGUCUGUUCAAAUCAGACCUAGUUCG
rnacentral:tRNA from 2 species